rnacentral:rRNA from 1 species
UACGUAGGUGACGAGCGUUAUCCGGAUUUACUGGGCGUAAAGCGCUUGUAGGUGGUCUUGUAAGUUGGGCGUGAAAACACCGGGCUUAACUCGGUGACGCCGUCCAAUACUGCGAGGCUGGAGGAUGUCAGAGGAAGGUGGAAUUCCUGGUGUAGUGGUGAAAUGCGUAGAUAUCAGGAGGAACACCCGUGGCGAAGGCGGAUCUCUGGGCCUUACCUGACGCUCAGGCGCGAAAGCUAGGGGAGCGAACAGG